rnacentral:rRNA from 1 species
GACGAACGCUGGCGGCGUGCUUAACACAUGCAAGUCGAACGGAAAGGCCCCUUUGGGGGUACUCGAGUGGCGAACGGGUGAGUAACACGUGAGUAACCUUCCCUUGACUUCGGGAUAACUUCAGGAAACUGGGGCUAAUACCGGAUAGGAAUCCUUGCUGCAUGGUGGGGGUUGGAAAGCUUCGGCGGUUUUGUAUGGACUCGCGGCUUAUCAGCUUGUUGGUGGGGUAGUGGCUUACCAAGGCUUUGACGGGUAGCCGGCCUGAGAGGGCGACCGGCCACAUUGGGACUGAGAUACGGCCCAGACUCCUACGGGAGGCAGCAGUGGGGAAUAUUGCACAAUGGGCGGAAGCCUGAUGCAGCAACGCCGCGUGCGGGAUGACGGCCUUCGGGUUGUAAACCGCUUUCAGCAGGGGCGAAGCUUGUGGUGACGGUACCUGCAGAAGAAGCACCGGCUAACUACGUG